CCUACGGGAGGCAGCAGUGAGGAAUAUUGGUCAAUGGACGAGAGUCUGAACCAGCCAAGUAGCGUGAAGGAUGACUGCCCUAUGGGUUGUAAACUUCUUUUAUAUGGGAAUAAAAUGUUCCACGUGUGGGAUUUUGUAUGUACCAUAUGAAUAAGGAUCGGCUAACUCCGUGCCAGCAGCCGCGGUAAUACGGAGGAUCCGAGCGUUAUCCGGAUUUAUUGGGUUUAAAGGGAGCGUAGGUGGAUUGUUAAGUCAGUUGUGAAAGUUUGCGGCUCAACCGUAAAAUUGCAGUUGAAACUGGCAGUCUUGAGUACAGUAGAGGUGGGCGGAAUUCGUGGUGUAGCGGUGAAAUGCUUAGAUAUAACGAAGAACUCCGAUUGCGAAGGCAGUUCACUGGACUGCAACUGACACUGAGGCUCGAAAGUGUGGGUAUCAAACAGGAUUAGAUACCCGAGUAGUC
rnacentral:rRNA from 1 species